GACAGAGGUGCCGAGCGUUAGGCGGAAUCACUGGGCUUAAAGCGUGUGUAGGCGGGUCGUUAAGUACCUUGUGAAAUCCCCCGGCUCAACCGGGGAACUGCUGGGUAUACUGGCGAUCUUGAGCCACCUAGGGGCAGUCGGAACAAGUGGUGGAGCGGUGAAAUGCGUAGAUAUCACUUGGAACGCCAAUGGUGAAAACAGACUGCUGGGGGUGUGCUGACGCUGAGACACGAAAGCCAGGGGAGCGAACGGG
rnacentral:rRNA from 1 species